rnacentral:rRNA from 1 species
GGGUUGUGAGGUUAAGCGACUAAGCGUACACGGUGGAUGCCCUGGCAGUCAGAGGCGAUGAAGGGCGUGCUAAUCUGCGAUAAGCGCCGGUAAGGUGAUAUGAACCGUUAUAACCGGCGAUACCCGAAUGGGGAAACCCAGUGUGACUCGUCACACUAUCAUUAACUGAAUCCAUAGGUUAAUGAGGCGAACCGGGGGAACUGAAACAUCUAAGUACCCCGAGGAAAAGAAAUCAACCGAGAUUCCCCCAGUAGCGGCGAGCGAACGGGGAGGAGCCCAGAGCCUGAAUCAGCAUGUGUGUUAGUGGAAGCGUCUGGAAAGGCGCGCGAUACAGGGUGACAGCCCCGUACACAAAAGCGCAUGUGCUGUGAGCUCGAUGAGUAGGGCGGGACACGUGGUAUCCUGUCUGAAUAUGGGGGGACCAUCCUCCAAGGCUAAAUACUCCUGACUGACCGAUAGUGAACCAGUACCGUGAGGGAAAGGCGAAAAGAACCCCGGCGAGGGGAGUGAAAAAGAACCUGAAACCGUGUACGUACAAGCAGUGGGAGCACAGGUUUACCUGUGUGACUGCGUACCUUUUGUAUAAUGGGUCAGCGACUUAUAUUCUGUAGCAAGGUUAACCGAAUAGGGGAGCCGGAGGGAAACCGAGUCUUAAUUGGGCGUUAAGUUGCAGGGUAUAGACCCGAAACCCGGUGAUCUAGCCAUGGGCAGGUUGAAGGUUGGGUAACACUAACUGGAGGACCGAACCGACUAAUGUUGAAAAAUUAGCGGAUGACCUGUGGCUGGGGGUGAAAGGCCAAUCAAACCGGGAGAUAGCUGGUUCUCCCCGAAAGCUAUUUAGGUAGCGCCUCGUGAACUCAUCUCCGGGGGUAGAGCACUGUUUCGGCUAGGGGGCCAUCCCGGCUUACCAACCCGAUGCAAACUGCGAAUACCGGAGAAUGUUAUCACGGGAGACACACGGCGGGUGCUAACGUCCGUCGUGAAGAGGGAAACAACCCAGACCGCCAGCUAAGGUCCCAAAGUCAUGGUUAAGUGGGAAACGAUGUGGGAAGGCCCAGACAGCCAGGAUGUUGGCUUAGAAGCAGCCAUCAUUUAAAGAAAGCGUAAUAGCUCACUGGUCGAGUCGGCCUGCGCGGAAGAUGUAACGGGGCUAAACCAUGCACCGAAGCUGCGGCAGCGACACUGUGUGUUGUUGGGUAGGGGAGCGUUCUGUAAGCCUGCGAAGGUGUCCCGU